ensembl:lncRNA
CCAUGAGCUCGGGCAACUGUCCGGACUGAGAUGCCCGGGACUGGGACUGUUAUCUUGGCUACUGGGUCCCGAAGUCCCCCUCCGCCCCGGGAAUUGUGCCCACCAUUUUCUCGGUCCCAGGAGCUCUGGGAAUGUGUCAUCCCCGGUAGAGGGUGCCCGUCACGGCCAACCACAGAGAUCCCGGUCCUCCAGGAUUCUAGAGCGGCCGGCCGAACCCUCCACUGACUUCCGGUGGCUGAGUCUCUCCGCAGCUUCCGGCCAAGUUGGACCGCACCUGGGGGUUUCCUGGCCUGCAGAAUUUGGCCAGCAAUUCAACUUGUCUGUCUACAAGUAAACUGGACUCCAAUCAUGUCAUCAUCUUCCCUGUGGAGACCAUUGCUGACAUUUACUGAGCCCUACUAGUAGGGACCUUAUGAUCCUCAUUUUCCCAGAAGCUGAGACUCAGAGAGGUUAAGCAAACAGCCCAAGGUCACACAGCCAGUGAGAGGGAGAGUUUGGAUUGGAACUCAGCUCUGUCUACUGACUAACUCCUAGAAGAAGCUACUCCAAGCACUUUCUCCCGUGAGCUUCAGGGGUAAGCGGGGCGUGCCUAGCCCCUGAGUCAUGGUUUAGAGAGGCCAGGGAUUCCCGCAGCCCUUCAAAUGACUUAACAAGAGAGUGAGAUAGUCCAGGCAAUGCCCUCUUCUCAUCAAUGAAGAUUUUGAGGCCCAGAAUACAGCAAUGACUGGCCUGGGCUCAUAGUGCAAGUUGAGGAAAGGCUCUGCUUGCUAUCCCGCCUCGGACUCUGCCUCAGACCCAGACUGGGUUAUUCUGUUAUGCUGCAGGAGGUGGAUCCGAGUUGUCUCUCCCCAUGUCAGACUCUAGGCCCUCCCUGUGGCUGGAACCCCAGGGCCCUCCAGAGUGCUCCCCAAAGACCUCCACUCACACAUUCACUCAACAAGCAUUUAGUACAUGAUCCCAGGGCACCCACCCUCCACUGCAUAUGCUGGGACUUUGAGUCUGGCUAGGGAGACCAAGUCAGACCACUAGUGUGGAAGUGCUGUGACCAAGGGGCUGAGGAAGCCCAGGGUGAGCCCUAGACCAAGUUGGGGAUCCGAAGAAAGACAUCCCAGAGGAAGGGGCAUUUAUCUGGCUCUUGAAGUUAACAGGAAGCUUCCAGGCAGAAAUGGCAGGAAGGACUUUCUAGAACAAAGGAACAGCAUUUGCAUUUGCAAAUGUGAUAUACAGAAUGCUCCUGAAUUAGACACAUAAAAAACGGUUGAUUGGCUGGAUGUAGUGGCUCACGCCUGUAAUCCCAGCACUUUGGGAGGCCAAGGCAGGUGGAUCACUUGAGGUCAGGAGUUUGAGACCAGCCUGGCCAACAUGGGGAAACCCUGUCUCUACCAAAAAUACAAAAAUUAGCUGGGCCUGGUGGCGAGCACCUAUAGUCCCAGCUACUCGGGAGGCGGAGGCAGGAGAAUCGCUUGAACCCAGGAGGCAGAGGUUGCAGUGAGCCGAGAUGGCGCCACUGCACUCUAGCCUGGGCAACAAGAGCGAAACUCUGUCUCAAAAAAAAAAAAAGAUUGAUUUUAGGUUAUGUGAACUUCCCCUCAAAAAACAAACACACAACAUUGUUGAGAACGUCAUGUGCAGGUGCAGAGGCCAAAGCGGCUCCGUCUCAGAGGCGAAUCCGCCAUGCUGGCUUCUGAUUGACCCCAGUUCCAGAAAGGCCUCUAAGAUUUCUCCUUUAUGUACUGUCACUGGCAAUGCCGAUCAAUUGUCCUCCACACCCCUUCUGAAGCACGUAUGUCCUUUCCCUAUGCUAUACAUGCCCUGACUCUGGGUGUCACAGUGUGGAGACCUACGUGUCUCAUGACUGCCCAAGACAUAGCUUCUGUUCGUAUGCCUCUAUAAAAUGCUUCUUUC